UACAGAGGUCUCAAGCGUUGUUCGGAUUCAUUGGGCGUAAAGGGCGCGUAGGCGGCGAGGUAAGUCGGGUGUGAAAUCUCAGAGCUCAACUCUGAAACUGCACUCGAUACUGCUUUGCUAGAGGACUGGAGAGGAGAUUGGAAUUCACGGUGUAGCAGUGAAAUGCGCAGAUAUCAGGAGGAACACCGGUGGCGAAGGCGGAUCUCUGGGCCUGUCCUGACGCUGAGGCGCGAAAGCUAGGGGAGCGAACAGG
rnacentral:rRNA from 1 species